AGGAAUAUUGGUCAAUGGGCGAGAGCCUGAACCAGCCAAGUAGCGUGAAGGACGACGGCCCUACGGGUUGUAAACUUCUUUUAUAAGGGAAUAAAGUUCGCCACGCGUGGUGUUUUGUAUGUACCUUAUGAAUAAGCAUCGGCUAAUUCCGUGCCAGCAGCCGCGGUAAUACGGAAGAUGCGAGCGUUAUCCGGAUUUAUUGGGUUUAAAGGGAGCGUAGGCGGGCUUUUAAGUCAGCGGUCAAAUGCCACGGCUCAACCGUGGCCAGCCGUUGAAACUGCAAGCCUUGAGUCUGCACAGGGCACAUGGAAUUCGUGGUGUAGCGGUGAAAUGCUUAGAUAUCACGAAGAACUCCGAUCGCGAAGGCAUUGUGCCGGGGCAGCACUGACGCUGAGGCUCGAAAGUGCGGGUAUCAAACAGGAUUAGAUACCCUGGUAGUCCGCACGGUAAACGAUGAAUGCUCGCUAUGGGCGAUACAAUGUCCGUGGCCAAGCGAAAGCGUUAAGCAUUCCACCUGGGGAGUACGCCGGCAACGGUGAAACUCAAAGGAAUUGACGGGGGCCCGCACAAGCGGAGGAACAUGUGGUUUAAUUCGAUGAUACGCGAGGAACCUUACCCGGGCUUGAAUUGCAGGUGCAUGAGUCAGAGACGGCUCUUUCCUUCGGGACUCCUGUGAAGGUGCUGCAUGGUUGUCGUCAGCUCGUGCCGUGAGGUGUCGGCUUAAGUGCCAUAACGAGCGCAACCCUUCUCCCCAGUUGCCAUCGGGUAAUGCCGGGCCCUCUGGGGACACUGCCAUCGUAAGAUGCGAGGAAGGUGGGGAUGACGUCAAAUCAGCACGGCCCUUACGUCCGGGGCUACACACGUGUUACAAUGGGGGGUACAGAGGGCCGCUGUCCGGUGACGGUCGGCCAAUCCCUAAAACCCCUCUCAGUUCGGACUGGAGUCUGCAACCCGACUCCACGAAGCUGGAUUCGCUAGUAAUCGCGCAUCAGCCAUGGCGCGGUGAAUACGUUCCCG
rnacentral:rRNA from 1 species